rfam:Schistosoma haematobium scaffold429_11, whole genome shotgun sequence.
AUUCAGCUGACAUGUCUAAAACAGGAUGAAACACGUGUCCUGAUU